GCCGGGUGUGGUGGUGGGCACCUGUAAUCCCAGCUACUGGGGAGGCUGAGGCAGGAGAAUUGCUUGAACCCAGGAGGGAGGUUGCAGUGAGCUGAGAUCAUGCCACUGCACUCCAGCCUGGGCAACAGAGUAAGACUCUGUCUCAA
rnacentral:SRP_RNA from 1 species